AUCAUCGGUGUGGUCCUCAUUCGAUCCCCAAUUCGCUCCAACAAACCCUAACCGCAUAGUGCAUCUCAAUCGACCCCCAAAUUGAACCAAGACACCCUAGCUAGCUGGUAAAGAUGGCAGAUGCAGUUGUUGAUUCGGUCACCCUGCUACUCGUGCCUUGCCCGGAUUGCGGCAGGAACGUCGUGACAUAUGUAGUUCGCCGCUGCCAGAACGGCGUCGAGCGUUUCUACAAGUGCCGCAGUCACAUCCCAGCACGUGGUGGAUGCGACUUCUAUAGGUGUCCGCAAGCUUACGCCGAGUCGCUUGCUGCUGCAGACCAAAGGUAAUGUAAGUUGCAGAGGUCUAUGCUUAUUAGCAGGGUUGGGAUUUUGCAGAGGAAAUUCGACUCCCCGUCUUUGUCUUGGAUGGCAAUUACAGUCGACUAGAACUGUCUUGGAUGGCAAUUACAGUCGACUAAAACUCGCUCUGUCUUAUCUGAAACGCACAAGCACACGCACACGCACACGCACACGCACCUCUUAUCAGGGAAAUAGCCAUAUUAAUUUAGGUGCAAGGCUCUGAGUGAAAUCAGGCUAUAUUAAUUCAGGUGCGACGGCGGCUCUACAAGUUUGCUUUCGGUAAAUAUGCCCUCUGAAAUUUACACAUAUGGUGAAUUAUGUUAGAAUAGGAAACCAAGUCUGCACUGGGUUUGGCAGCUUCUGGUGUUGGUCGAUGCAAUAAACAAUGGACACUGCUGGAAGGAAACCAAGAACAGGAAGUUUGCUCGAAUGAGCAAGCUAAGGGCUGCAAAUGUCCACAAGGCUUCAAGGGUGACGGCGUACACGGCUGCAAAGGCAUCACGAAUUUUCAUGACAAGGAUGAUGAAAGAGUAGAUGAUCAUCAGGAAGAAAACUUGGCAUUUUUCAGUACUAACACAAUUCAGGCAUGUUUGCAUGACAUUUAGGCAUGUUUGUAUGCUUUCAGUACUGUCACAGUUCACAUGAAAAUUGGCAGAAUGUAAAUUCACAUGGCACUCUGAAUGUAAAUUCACAUAGGCAGAUUCAUGGACCAUUUAAUCAUUUCAUCCCAAGUUCACUUAAUUUUUUUUUGCAUGGAAGUUCACUUAAUAAUCUGACAUUUCAAGUUAACCAAGUGAGGAUUUGACCCAAUCUGUCUUUUUGGUAAAUUCACAUGGAAGAGUAAGUCUUUUUGAUGCUAUAUUUAAACCUUCAGAUGGAACAGCUGAAGCUCAGAUUAUUGUUUAUCACAAGGGUUGUUCAAAACUGCAGUUAUCAUGCAAUUUGACUGAUUUUGUUACUCCCAUAGAGCAAAUGUGAAAUAGUGCAAGGGCCAAGGAAAACAGUGUCAUUGCUUGGGAAUGAUGUCAAGCCGGAGAGUGGUGUUUUUCUUCCACUUUCUCUAUUCUAUCUCGAAUAAAAGUUUCCAAAAAUUAUAUCGAUUGUUUCCAAAUACUCCUCACUGAUUGUUUCCAAAUACUCCUCACUGAUUGUUUCCAAAACUAUAUUGAUUAUUUCCAAAAACUCAUUGGUUGAUUGUUUUUCAAGAAUCUUUCAUUGUAUCCAAACACUAUAUUGGUAGUUCCGAAAAACUCCUCACUGAUUGAUUGUUUUCCAGGAGUACCUACAAGAGGCAGGGUGAGGAAGGAGCAACUGUUGGAGUCACAAUAACAACAGUGGCGAUGGUGGGGAAGGAUCGAUUCCGCCACUCAGGUGGCGCGAUUCUGCCACUCAGGUGGCGAUUCCAUCGGCAAUGCUGCUAGCUCGAUCUACGGGGUGGCGAUUCUGCCACUCAGAUGGCCGGCGGCUGCAGCGGGCGAUGGAACUAGAAGAUUGAUCGCGUAGGUGGGUGGCGCCGCAGAUGGGCGCCAAAAUCGUGCUGGUGGGCGGCGGCUGCCCCCUUGCGAUGGCGCAGGCGACGGAUGGAGGAAGAAGCAGACGGGGACCUAUUUCAAACAGUCUUGGAAGUACGAGUCCUUGUUUUUUUUGCUAAAAUGCAGUCCACUAGGUGCGCGACAAUCUUUUUUGGACGGAUGGGUUAUUAUCUUGUGAAAUUCUGACCUGAAUUCCCUGUGCUUUGUGUAAA